rnacentral:rRNA from 1 species
AUUGAACGCUGGCGGCAGGCCUAACACAUGCAAGUCGAACGGUAACAGGAAGCAGCUUGUUGCUUCGCUGACGAGUGGCGGACGGGUGAGUAAUGUCUGGGAAGCUGCUUGAUGGAGGGGGUUAACUACUGGAACCGGUAGCUAGUACCGCAUAAUGUUGCAAGACCAAAGAGGGGGACCUUCGGGCCUCUUGCCAUCGGCUGUGCCCAGAUGGGAUUAGCUUGUUGGUGGGGUAACGGCUCACCAAGGCGACGAUCCCUAGCUGGUCUGAGAGGGUGACCGGCCACACUGGAACUGAGACACGGUCCAGACUCCUACGGGAGGCAGCAGUGGGGAAUAUUGCACAAUGGGCGCAAGCCUGAUGCAGCCAUGCCGCGUGUAUGAAGAAGGCCUUCGGGUUGUAAAGUACUUUCAGCGGGGAAGAAGGGAGUAAAAUGAAUACCUUUGCGCAUUGACGUUACCCGCAGAAGAAGCACCGGCUAACUCCGUG